UGUCCAAAGAGUGCCAGGGGUCUGUCAGGGGUCAGUUGGUCGUAUAAUCGGGUUGUCAGUCCAUGUCCAAAGAGUGCCAGGGGUCUGUCAGGGGUCAGUAGGUCGUAUAAUCGAGUUGUCAGUCCAUGUCCAAAGAGUGCCAGGGGUCUGUCAGGGGUCAGUAGGUCGUAUAAUCGAGUUGUCAGUCCAUGUCCAAAGAGUGCCAGGGGUCUGUCAGGGGUCAGUUGGUCGUAUAAUCGAGUUGUCAGUCCAUGUCCAAAGAGUGCCAGGGGUCUGUCAGGGGUCAGUAGGUCUUGUAAUCGAGUUGUCAGUCCAUGUCCAAAGAGUGCCAGGGGUCUGUCAGGGGUCAGUUGGUCGUGGGUUGUCAGGAGUUGUCAGUCCGUGUGUUUUUUUAGUCUGGCUGAGCCGCUGUCUCCCCAGAAGAGUCUCAGCUAUAACUUUGGCGUUGUCUGUUGGUCUGGAUGAGCCACAGUCUCCUCAGAUGAGACUCACUCUUACCAACACACAGCACCGUCUUUUUGUUGUUUUAUGAUUUUUUUGUUGUUUUUAUGUUUUUACAGUUAGUGACGCUCUGCCCUGCUGGGGGGAUUUCUUCUUCCCCGCACGGCAGUUCCUGUUGAAGGCGUCAGUCAUUAUGAUUAUGGUGAUUUGUACCGGUGACCUAAACUGAUAUAAGGGUCACGGCUUGUCUGGCUACUUCUUAGGAAGGUCAGCACGUCUUGCGGGAACUUCAACGCCCCCCCCGCCGGACCUUCGGGAUCCCCGGCACCGCCAUGGACGCCCCGGGGGAGCCAGGGCGCCCUACCGACGCCCCUCCAGUCCUGCGAUGCUCACCAGCAAGACCAAGGGCUCGCUGGCGCUCCCCAGCUCCGACGAUUCGAGGAGGGCGGGUGCAAGAACGCG